rnacentral:rRNA from 1 species
GCUUGCUCUUACGGGUGGCGAGUGGCGGACGGGUGAGGAAUACAUCGGAAUCUACUUUUUCGUGGGGGAUAACGUAGGGAAACUUACGCUAAUACCGCAUACGACCUACGGGUGAAAGCAGGGGACCUUCGGGCCUUGCGCGAUUGAAUGAGCCGAUGUCGGAUUAGCUAGUUGGCGGGGUAAAGGCCCACCAAGGCGACGAUCCGUAGCUGGUCUGAGAGGAUGAUCAGCCACACUGGAACUGAGACACGGUCCAGACUCCUACGGGAGGCAGCAGUGGGGAAUAUUGGACAAUGGGCGCAAGCCUGAUCCAGCCAUACCGCGUGGGUGAAGAAGGCCUUCGGGUUGUAAAGCCCUUUUGUUGGGAAAGAAAUCCAGCCGGCUAAUACCUGGUUGGGAUGACGGUACCCAAAGAAUAAGCACCGGCUAACUUCGUGCCAGCAGCCGCGGUAAUACGAAGGGUGCAAGCGUUACUCGGAAUUACUGGGCGUAAAGCGUGCGUAGGUGGUUGUUUAAGUCUGUUGUGAAAGCCCUGGGCUCAACCUGGGAACUGCAGUGGAAACUGGACGACUAGAGUGUGGUAGAGGGUAGCGGA